rnacentral:rRNA from 1 species
AUGACGAGCAGACGCCGGGAGGGGCGGGGAGCACGGGAAGGAGGUGUCCAUCAUGGUAGGGCCACACCUCUACUCCCACCACGGUGGAUGUUGGAGGAGGGCCACGAAGGUGGCGACGCGUGCGUCAACGUGGUGGAGGGGUCGGCUGCAUUAGGGAUCGCAGUAUCAGGGAGGAAACGCGACAGCUGCAGCGGAUACACGCCAUGGACGUGCGGCCCGAGAAUGUCGAGAAGAGCAUGUACAGGGAGGGCUCGUCAUCCCGGGCCCGACUGUCGCCGCUGCAGGGCCUUCCUUCGGGGUCUCGAUGCCGGCGGUGGCGGGAGUUGUUGCGUCGAUGGUGGUGGCGGCGGAGCUGGACGGGAGUGGGAACGUGGGAGACGAGCGGCGGAGGAGAUUAGCCAGAUUGGAUCGGGACGCUCCACCCCGAGGCUCUACUACGCCGUGGACGUGCUGCUCCGGUCGGGGCAUGAGGACGUGUACGCCGCUGUCGAGCGGCCGCUCCAGCUCGCGCAGACCGCCGCCGUCCUCGAGAUCCUCCACGGGCUCGUCGGGCUGGUGAGGUCGCCGGUGUCGGCCACGCUGCCGCAGAUCGGGUCGUGCCUCUUCGUCACCUGGGGCAUCCUCUGGAGCUUCCCCGAGACCAGGACACACAUCUUGGUGAGCUCCUUGGUCAUCAGCUGGUCCAUCACCGAGGAUCGGGUCAACAAUGCUCAUGUACUAGAAAAGAACACUAGAAACUUGAAUGGAAAGAACCUUCAAAGAAGAACACUAGAAACUACAAGGUCAUGGCCUUCGUCGGGAUCUUCACCGGGUUCGGCUCCGUCGGCCGCCGCCGCGCGCUCAGGCGGACGUGGCUCCCCUCCGAUCGGCAGGUGCAGGUUGCAGGAAGCUACUGGUCUGGCAUUCAGAUUUGUGAUCGGCAAAAGCAAUGACAAGUCUAAGAUGGCAGCUCUUGAAAGAGAGGUUGAAGAAUAUGAUGAUUUUGUGCUUUUAGAUCUUGAUCUUAUGUAUGAGCCACAGUCCUUCCUACUUGGAUCAGAAUACUUCCUUCAUGCAUAUGGGCCUAUUUAUACUACCAAGUUGGAAGAAAAGAAGAAGAUCCGGAGAAGAUCUUAG